UACGUAGGUGGCAAGCGUUGUUCGGAAUUACUGGGCGUAAAGCGCGUGUAGGCGGCUCUUCAAGUCAGACGUGAAAGCCCCGGGCUUAACUCGGGAACUGCGUUUGAUACUGUCGAGCUAGAGUGUGGAAGGGGCGAUUGGAAUUCCGUGUGUAGCGGUGAAAUGCGUAGAUAUACGGAGGAACACCAGGGGCGAAGGCGGAUCGCUGGGCCGGUACUGACGCUGAGGCGCGAAAGCGUGGGGAGCAAACAGG
rnacentral:rRNA from 1 species